CUCUUCUAUGGUUAAUCCACAUCAGCACUGUCAAUUUUCUAUUCUCUCAAUCUUUGAUUCACGUAUCUAUUGUUAUUCCAAUUCCAAAAACGGUUUCAUUCACGUAUCUAUCGCUAUUCCAAUUCCAAAAACGGUUUCACACGUUCUCUUUUUUCUACCGAACUGUUUCGAUUCCAAUUCCAAAACACGGUCUCUCUUUAUAUCGAUUUGUUUCUUCCCUUUUAUUCUUCCAUUCAUUCACGUUCAAUUCUGCCGGUUACGUAUUCUUAUUGUUUCCACGGUUACAAACAGAUUCAUCAUUCACCACCCACUUCCAAUCUUUCUCUCCAAUCUUCUUCUUCUACAGCGGUUUCUUAUUCUGAUUUUGGAUUAUCAAAUUCCCAUUUUAUUAUUCACAUGAAACAAAUUUGCAAAUUCCCAUUUUAUUAUUCACAUGAAACAAAUUUGCAGCUUCUUUGUUUAGGGUUUUGUUUCCCUAUGGAAUUGAAAUUUAUUCUUUCAAUAAUUAUGGAAUUGAAAUUUAUUCUUUCAAUAAUUAUGGAAUUGAAAUUUGUAUUGAUUUGUUAUUUUUGUUGUUUUAUUAUGGGUGAUGGAGCAGAGAGAACAGUGAAGAAGGUGAAAAUUUGAAAUUGUCCAAGGCUCUUACCAUUCUUGAUGGGACGACGGUUUCUGAUGCGUGUAGAUGAAUGGCGGCUCGCCGUGUGGAUGCUGUUUUGUUGACUGAUUCCAGUGCUUUGCUUUUCGGGAUUCUUACUGAUAAGGUAAACAAUCACUUGCUAGAAUGGGCGGGUUUCAAACUCGGGAGUGUGGGAGGGAUGCUUUUGAAAGUGAUGGGUGUGGUGUUGAGAUGAAACAUAUUCAUCUGUUGAAAUAGGAUCUGGUAAGCCUUUGGUUGAUUGUUUGCAGAUGUUUCAGAAUCCUUUGAAGCUUCGCGACUCAACAUCAUCAUCAACGCAAAAACAACAGCCUCAGGCAUCACUGCUCGGUACAGUUCCUUUACCCUCAAUCAAUGAAUUGUUGUUUAUUAUUUUCCACAAUUUUUUGAGUAUUUUGUUAGAUUUGUUGUUGCCUUUUCGUUUUGCUUGAUGAGAAGAAAUGGAAUGAAGGUUUGAUAAUUGAAAAGAAACAGAGAUGAAGAGGUCCUGUUGUGCUAAACAAUAUUUGAUAUUGUUUCUAUAUUUAAGGAAUCAUGGACUUCAUCUUUGGCAAUAACACUUCUCUUUUGGAGCAUUGUCAUAUUCAAUGCAAAUAUGUAGAGUUUCAGUACCGCACAGCCUUUCUCACCAAUCUCCUUCACACGAUGAGAACUCCAAAAACAAGAACUCAGGUGAUCGGGUUCCAGAAAGAGAAUCGUGCAGACAGAUGAGAGAAUUGUAAAGUUGAUUCAGAUAAUUCAUUAUUUGAAGGAAGUGAAUGGAAACUACAAUGAAGAUUAUAUAGAGCAUGAUGAAAGAUGUCUCACAGAAUUAGGGCGCGGGAAUUUGGAAAUAUUUGUCCUUCCUUAUAUAUUCAGAGCAUAAGUCCCAAGAUCCUCUAAGAUCGGGAGCCUCACAGUAAUAUUAGAAGGCAUUGAUUCCCUCGGCAAAGUUCCACUGCCAUAUUUAAUCACAAGGACAAGUUACCAGCUAAAGCAAAUAUU